UAUGGCCAUAUUAUGUUGAAACACUAGUUCUCAUCUGAUCACUGAAGUUAAGCAAUAUUGAGCUUGGUCAGUACCUAGAUGGGUGACCACUUAAGAAUACCAGGUGCU